rnacentral:pre_miRNA from 1 species
GAAAUACUCCCUCCGUUUGGAAUUACUUGUCUCGAAAAUGGAUGUAUCUAGAUGUAUUUUAGUUCUAGAUACAUCCAUUUCCGAGACAAGUAAUUCCGAACGGAGGGAGUACAAC